rnacentral:lncRNA from 1 species
UGAACAUUGGCCAUAGCAUGUGGUACACAAGUUGUACUCCUAGCAUUGGGUUCAGAAGCUUAGGCUGGGAAUCUUAUGACUGAACUGCUCCUUUCUUAUCCCCAGGUCUUUCUACAAACAACCUGUCUAUCAUUUUCUCAACCAAGAUCCCCCAAGCCACCUUCUGCUUUCCUCAGAGCAAUGCUGUGUGAACCAGAUGGGAGAGAAUUCCACACCCAGGUCCCGGACAGUGGGGAUCAAAAACAUACAAAAUGCAGACGGGAAGCCAGAAAAUGGGGAAGAUGCUGUGCAAGCAAAGAAAACACAUAAUUCAGUGUUUCUACUGGUUAGACAUGUGUGCCC